UACGUAGGGGGCUAGCGUUGUCCGGAAUCAUUGGGCGUAAAGCGCGUGUAGGCGGCCCGGUAAGUCCGCUGUGAAAGUCGGGGGCUCAACCCUCGAAAGCCGGUGGAUACUGUCGGGCUCGAGUACGGGAGAGGCGAGUGGAACUGCGAGUGUAGAGGUGAAAUUCGUAGAUAUUCGCAAGAACACCAGUGGCGAAGGCGGCUCACUGGCCCGGUACUGACGCUGAGGUGCGAAAGCGUGGGGAGCAAACAGG
rnacentral:rRNA from 1 species